GACGAACGCUGGCGGCGUGCUUAACACAUGCAAGUCGAGCGGUAAGGCCCUUUCGGGGGUACACGAGCGGCGAACGGGUGAGUAACACGUGGGUGACCUGCCCUCAGCUCUGGGAUAAGCCUGGGAAACUGGGUCUAAUACUGGAUAUGACUCCACGGUGCAUGUCGUGGGGUGGAAAGCCUUGUGCGGCUGAGGAUGGGCCCGCGGCCUAUCAGCUUGUUGGUGGGGUGAGGCCUACCAAGGCGACGACGGGUAGCCGGCCUGAGAGGGCGACCGGCCACACUGGGACUGAGACACGGCCCAGACUCCUACGGGAGGCAGCAGUGGGGAAUCUUGCGCAAUGGGCGAAAGCCUGACGCAGCGACGCCGCGUGAGGGAUGACGGCCUG
rnacentral:rRNA from 1 species